CCUACGGGAGGCAGCAGUAGGGAAUAUUGCACAAUGGGGGAAACCCUGAUGCAGCAACGCCGCGUGAGUGAAGAAGGCCCUUGGGUUGUAAAGCUCUUUAGCCUGGGAAGAGGCUUCGUUAGGUAAAUAAUCUAGCGGGGUGACGGUACCAGGAGAAUAAGCACCGGCUAAUCUCGUGCCAGCAGCCGCGGUAAUACGAGAGGUGCAAGCGUUACUCGGAAUCACUGGGCGUAAAGCGCACGUAGGCGGAUUGGUAUGUCAAUUGUGAAAUACCUGGGCUCAACCCGGGAACUGCAGUUGAAACUGCCUUUCUUGAAUGCUUGAGAGGGUGGGGGAAUACCUAGUGGAGAAGUGAAAUUCGUAGAGAUUAGGUGGAACACCGGAGGCGAAGGCGCCUGCCUGGCAAUGCAUUGACGCUGAGGUGCGAAAGUGUGGGGAGCAAACAGGAUUAGAUACCCCAGUAGUC
rnacentral:rRNA from 1 species